rnacentral:lncRNA from 1 species
CUGCGCAUCUGUUGUGUGUGUGCGUCUGUCUGUCUGUUCAGGUCUGUUUCAGACUACGUCUGCCUGUCUGUCCAGGUCUGUUUCAGGCUGUGUCUGUCUGUCUGUCCGGGUCUGUUUCAGGCUGUGUCUGUCUGUCUGUCCGGGUCUGUUUCAGGCUGUGUCUGUCUGUCUGUCCGGGUCUGUUUCAGGCUGUGUCUGUCUGUCUGUCUGGGUCUGUUUCAGGCUGUGUCUGUCUGUCUGUUUGUCUGGGUCUGUUUCAGGCUGUGUCUGUCUGUCCGGGUCUGUUUCAGGCUGUAUGUGUGUCUGCUCUUUGCUUCUGCUCCUGGCUCUGUGUGUAUUUCCCGGGUCCUGUGG